UACGAAGGGUGCAAACGUUGCUCGGAAUUAUUGGGCGUAAAGCGCGUGUAGGCGGCUUGGCAAGUCGGGUGUGAAAUCCCUCAGCUCAACUGAGGAAGUGCGCCCGAAACUGCUUUGCUUGAGUGUCGGAGAGGAUGGCGGAAUUCCCCAAGUAGAGGUGAAAUUCGUAGAUAUGGGGAGGAACACCGGUGGCGAAGGCGGCCAUCUGGACGAUUACUGACGCUGAGACGCGAAAGCGUGGGUAGCAAACAGG
rnacentral:rRNA from 1 species